rnacentral:rRNA from 1 species
UGGCUCAGGAUGAACGCUAGCGGGAGGCUUAAUACAUGCAAGUUGAGCGGUAAGUUGUUUAUAGCAAUAUAGAUGACCUAGAGCGGCGCACGGGUGAGUAACGCGUACAUAACCUACCCUAUACAGGGGGAUAGCCUUGGGAAACUGAGAUUAAUACCCCAUGGUAUUAUUUCCCGCAUGGGAAGAUAAUUAAAGUUGAGGCGGUAUAGGAUGGGUGUGCGUCUGAUUAGCCAGUUGGUGAGGUAACGGCUCACCAAAGCGAUGAUCAGUAGGGGGCGUGAGAGCGUGACCCCCCACACGGGUACUGAGACACGGACCCGACUCCUACGGGAGGCAGCAGUAAGGAAUAUUGGUCAAUGCCCGGAAGGGUGAACCAGCCAUCCCGCGUGAAGGAUGAAGGGGCUCUGCCUUGUAAACUUCUUUUGUAUGGGGCGAAAAAAGGGGAUUUAUCCUCGACUGACGGUACCAUAAGAAUAAGCACCGGCUAACUCCGUG